CAAUGGUAUUCAUUGUAUGGUCCACUGGACUACUGGAAACAUCCAAGCCAUCCACUUGACUUCCUCAGGAGAUUCCUGCCCUCAGAAUUGGGUUAGCUGCAGCUCAGCUGAGCUAGGCUGGCCCUUGGUCUCCAGGCUCCAGGCUGCAGUUUUGGUUCUGUUCUGCUCCACGUGGCUCUCAUCCUCUCUGGUCCAGGGGCUUCCUGGGAUCAUGCUGCACAAGAUCAAUCGAUAGGCCCAUGGAAACACAAGAUGUGUCUUGAGUCAUUCAACAAAGUACUUGUAUGCUGUCCUUUAAACCUAUAUUUCAUCGACCAACACAAGUCAUAUGGCCAAACCCAGCAUCAAUGAUGUGGAAGAACAUGUUCUGCCUCCUAUAGUUGAUGUUACUAUAAAGUCACAUGGCAAAGUAAGUGGCUAUAUAAUGAGGGACAUAAGAAUGGGGACAACAAUUUGUUCUACCACAAUGCACUCUUUUAUCUACUUUUUUUUU
rnacentral:lncRNA from 1 species